rnacentral:sRNA from 1 species
AUAAGCUCCCGGACAACGGCUGGUAAGCUUGCCGAGACGCAUAGACAUUGGACGGGGCAACAGGUAUGAGCACGCAGGCGUAUGCGCCGGAGUGCGAACCUGUCAGGAUUGCGGGAGUGUAAUGCACGAAGCAAUCCGCAGCUUAU